UACGUAGGGGGCAAGCGUUGUCCGGAUUUAUUGGGCGUAAAGAGCGUGUAGGCGCCAGGUAGGUCCGCUGUGAAAACUCGAGGCUCAACCUCGAGACGUCGGCGGAAACCAUCUGGCUAGAGUCCGGAAGAGGAGAGUGGAAUUCCGUGGUGUAGAGGUGAAAUUCGUAGAUAUCAGGAGGAACACCGGUGGCGAAGGCGGCCAUCUGGACGACAACUGAGCGCUGAGGCGCGAAAGCGUGGGGAUCAAACAGG
rnacentral:rRNA from 1 species